GGAGGCGGGGCUGCUGUUGCUGGGCUCUUUGGUCUGGCUAGAUAGUGAGGGCAGGCCAGGAAAAAUCUUCAGGGCGUUAUCUAGAGUGAUCUCUUGAGCAUCUUCGGACUCCUAUAAGCGCUUUCAUUUCCAGGUGGCCAAGAAGUGGGAGCGCUCGGGAAAAGCAGAAAAGGAUCGGGAAGCCAGAUUGGACUGCCAGCCGAGGCGGGCCCCACGAGGCACUCGGGAACUCGGCGCGGAGACAAGUGAAGAGGAGGAGGAGGGGCUGCGUUGUGUUUUUUCUUACGGGGCGCUCUGGCUUCGGGCCCAAGCCCUUCUCUUAGGAUGUCAAGGACCGAUCCGUCAGAGACUAUAGGAUGCUCAGAAACUAUUGUUGGCUGAAUAGGCAAAUCCCAGGGAUUCCCUGAAUCCGUCCUAAUGGUGACUGAUGUGGCCAAAGGCUUGUCUGGGCAGUGUCCGCCUCAGUAGUGACUCCCGUUUGCAUCGUGUGGUGCAAAGCAUUCCUUACCCCGGUGCAGCGAGGGAGGCGGCUCGAGGACUGCCGUUUCCAUCUGGCAGCUUAGUGUUAAUUUUGACGAUUUAGUCCUUGAAGAUUCACAAAGAGCUUCACUAUAUUGUCUCAUCUGGUCCCCGCCUAGCAGAAGAGGUGCCAUUGGGACCCCGUUUUACACUUGAGAAGAUGCAGGGCUUACCUAAUUGGCCCAAGGUCACCUGAUGAAGAUGAAGCAAAUCUGCCAAACCACCUGCUUGCAACCCAAAGUGGCCUAAGAAGCUCACAGAAGGUUCCCAGGUGUGGGAUCCACAAGGCUCUGACUCUGCUCCAGCUCCUUGCCCCAGGCUCCCUGUGCUGUGCUCUGGGCUCUGCAGAUUGUUCGUCUGAAACAGACUUGUUCUGAAGUUCUUCCAAGGUACCUUCUUCUGGGAAUGUGUUGUACUCCAGAUAUUUGUGGGUUCUGUGACUCCAAAACCAGUUCAGAGGCUUAAUUUGCUGUUUGGUUUCAGAGAAAGUCAGAGGAGGUCACAGAGUGGUGUUUGUUCUCAGCCAUCUUGGCUACCCCCUUCUCCCC
rnacentral:lncRNA from 1 species